GCGUGCUUAACACAUGCAAGUCGAACGAAACACCUUAUUUGAUUUUCUUCGGAACUGAAGAUUUGGUGAUUGAGUGGCGGACGGGUGAGUAACGCGUGGAUAACCUGCCCUGUACAGGGGGGAUAACAGUCAGAAAUGACUGCUAAUACCGCAUAAGACACCGCCCCGCGUGGUGCAGGGGUAAAAACUCCGGUGGUACAGGAUGGACCCGCGUCUGAUUAGCUGGUUGGAGAGGUAACGGCUCACCAAGGCGACAAUCAGUAGCCGGCUUGAGAGAGUGAACGGCCACAUUGGGACUGACACACGGCCCAAACUCCUACGGGAGGCAGCAGUGGGGAAUAUUGCACAAUGGGGGAAACCCUGAUGCAGCGACGCCGCGUGAGUGAAGAAGUAUUUCGGUAUGUAAAGCUCUAUCAGCAGGGAAGAAAAUGACGGUACCUGACUAAGAAGCCCCGGCUAACUACGUGCCAGCAGCCGCGGUAAUACGUAGGGGGCAAGCGUUAUCCGGAAUUACUGGGUGUAAAGGGUGCGUAGGUGGUAUGGCAAGUCAGAAGUGAAAACCCAGGGCUUAACUCUGGGACUGCUUUUGAAACUGUCAGACUGGAGUGCAGGAGAGGUAAGCGGAAUUCCUAGUGUAGCGGUGAAAUGCGUAGAUAUUAGGAGGAACAUCAGUGGCGAAGGCGGCUUACUGGACUGAAACUGACACUGAGGCACGAAAGCGUGGGGAGCAAACAAGAGAGAUACCCUGGUAGUCCACGCCGUAAA
rnacentral:rRNA from 1 species